rnacentral:lncRNA from 1 species
CUGGUCUCUCAGAAGCAGGGAGAGAGCACCAUACAUCUUGCAGCAUGUCCUUACCAGCUCGGAAAGCUUUGCCCUUGCAUUACUGCCAGUAAACUGUUCCUAACAUUUGUUACGCUUUAUAUUAAUGGAUGCUACAUUUUCCCAUUUCAUACCCUACCAAACAGCAUGAUGGGAUGACAGCAUCAAACAGGUAGUAGGCAGAAGUGAUGCAUGAAAACUACCCUUAGCUGGAGAGCCAUACUGUUUUUUCCGCUUUCUUACAGUGGCUGUUGGUUGUUCUUAAUCACCUGCCUCACGCAGGCAGGCACUGGCUGGGGAGCUAAGGGAAGGGCUGAGUCCAAAACACAUGGUAACUAAGCAGCAGGACUUGAGACGCUGUCUGGAAAAACAACAGAGACUCACCUCCUACUAUUUUUCUUCCAGGGAAGCAGCUCCCAUUGCGCCAUUUUCCUGGCAGAAGAAGUUAUGAUCUUCAGGAAAAAGCUUCUUUCAGAGUGGGUUAUGUUUUAAUUUGUUGUUGUUGCUGUUGUUUUCAAGCUGUGUAUGUGUGAGGAAAUGGCAUGGAGUGGAGGGGGGAAGUUGUCUCUGACAUCUGCAGGUUCAUCUUGGAAAGAGUGGAAGGAGGGAGGACUGAAGUACAUGGCCUGCAUCUGUUCCAAGAGGAACCCGAACAGAAGGAGGUUGUACUUGUUUUUCUGUUUGUACUUCUGGAGAUGAUGCCAUUAAUUAUGUGUUUACAACACUUCAGCUCUUCUUCCUAGCUUAGGCUCAAAGCUCAUAGUCCUGACUCAGCUCCAAAAAUCCACUGAGGUAGGUGGGACAGUCGUUCUGACACAAUAUUUAAUAUCAGGCCUAAAGGCUGGAUCUAGUCAAAGAAAAACAUCUACUCUAUGAAAGCAAAUGUAUCUUAUAAACAGUAGAAGCUGCUCCCCACUCACUGGAUGCUGAAGACAGAGGAUGGUUGUACUUCCUCAGCCAUCAUCAUCCAUAGCAUUUACUGUGGGGAUGACAGCUGUCUCCUGAUAAUGAUUUCCCUAGCACAGCAAUGUCCAGCCAGCAGCCAGAUUUCACCAAGAAUCUGUGAGGGACACCUUGAGAACUCACUGAGAAUUGCAGUUACUUCCUCUGAACCAGACUGACGUGUUAGUUUCACAAAAACAAGGUCACAUAUCCCACUGGUUUUAUGUUUUUGUUGUUCUCUUCUUUAUAUGUUUUAAUAGAAGAACAUUAAAAAUUAAAGUAAGUUUUGUCACUUAUAUACAUUAUCAAUAUUAUAAGAGCUGCUCCAAAAGUAAUACCUCCUGCUUUAUGGUGUCAGCUCAGGAUGUCAGAGGUGGGCAUUGGUGGUAUGGCAGAAGUUGAACCUUCCCACCACAAUUCCAUUACGUUUUGUUGCUGUGUGACAGAUGGCAGCAGAGGGACAGUCUGACACAAUGAAGUCUGACAUGGAAGUGCAUAUGAAGCAAAGGUGUGUAAUUGAAUUCCUUCAUGUGGAAAAAAUGGCACCCACUGACAUUCAUUGGCACUUGCUGGAGACUAAACCAUGGAUGUGAGCACAGUGAGGUGGUGGCUGGUACAUUUCAGCAGUGAUGACAGCAACAGUGAGUGACCUCAACUAGUGCAGAUUGUUACGAGCACAGCAUGCGGGCUUUUGUUCAUUUUGUUAAUUGUUUAUUUACAACUAAUGGUGGUGACUGCGUUGAAAAAGAGUGUUUUAUAGCUGAGAAUAUUCUCUGUUCAGUAGUGUUAUUGUGCUCUCUGUAUCUGAGGUAGUUUCCAUGGAAACAAUUAGGAGGCAUUACUUUCAGAGCAACCCUCAUAGAUGCAGCCCUACACAAUUCCUCUUCACUCAAUGCAGCCAGGCAAGCCAAAAGGUUGGACACCCAUUUCUUGGCACGAGCAGGAUAAAGGACAUCCUUUCUUCUGAAACUACUCCUUCUCUUAAAAGCUUGAUGAAAUAUUUCGUUCAAAUUUUAAGGUGACAAAAGCAGAUGAAUAAUUCUCAUUUAAUACUGUUUACUGUGGACUUCUUUUCACAUCCUAUGGUGAUUUCCCUUUUUUUUUUCCAUCAGUUUGAUUACAGCCAGUCAGCCAUAAUUCAAGCAUCCUGGCAUGCACCAGCUAGUGUCACAGCAGUGUCCUUGGGAGGCCAGGCUUUCAAAGGAUGCAGUGAGUGCUUCUGAAAAGAAGCAAAUUUAAUGUCUUAAAGCUACCUUGAGAAUCACAGAACAUUGUUUGUACACUCACACUGUGCCCUAGCAAAUGCUCUUCAUCUUGCAUGAAUGGAGAUAUGCUGUACCCAUAUAUGUAAGCCAGUUAAUUGCUUCUGGAGUUCGCUUUAAAAAAAUUACUUCUAAAUGACAGGAUUCACAUAAACAGAGCAAUCUGAUGCCUGAACCUGUGCUUCAAAAAGACACCUUAAAUUUCGGUGAUAAGGAGCUUGUAUGAAAGCUUGUAAUUGAAAGCUGGAGUGAAUUAGGCAUGUAUGCAGAUAUGUGUAUUAGAAUGUGCUACAGUGAGGGAUGCCCUGCCAACAGAUCCCUGUGCCUUUGUGCAGUUUUGGUAGAGAAUGAUGGAAAGUUGCACAGAAUCAGAGGUUGCCACAGCAGUAUCUUUGAAACCCUCUUUUAAUAUUCAUGAAAGAGUCAUAAAAAACUUUUUUGAAUGAUAGCAUAUUUAAUGACAGUCACUGAGUCAUAUGAAACCAAUCUUCUUUUUCAUAUAACAAACAAACUGAGACAUCUGUCCUAUAAAAUAACAGUAGGCUGUGUCUCAUGAAGACACUGUUUUGGAUUGAUAUGAAUCUAAAUGAACAAAAACUGAUACUCGGGUUUUCAGUUUUGUAAUUGAUUUCCUAUAGUUUAGUCCUCUGAUAUGUGAAUGCAUCCCUAUCUGUACAGUAGUGUUUCGUGUAAUAUUUGAAGCAGAUUUUCAAUACCUCACACAGAAAAUACCGACUCAGCUUCACUGUUAGUGUGAAAAGAACGAACAGUUUCUUUCUCACAGCCUGCUGACAUAACGGUCUUCCCUUGGAGUAUUUCAGUCCUUGCUCAUCUUGGGAUUAAUGGAACCAGUACUUACAGCUGCAGUGCCAGAGGCAGGACCCAUAUAUUUCUUUGACCAGAUGAAAGCUAGAAUGAAAGAGAGGGACAGGGAGAUAUCAGGAGAAGUGUCCUCGUAUUGCCACGCGCUCACUACAAAUCCUCAUCCCAUCAGCUGUACUCCCAGCCUGACUGAAGGCAGGAAUCCCUUCUGCGCAGGGGAGUAUACAGAAAGACAUGAAGAUGGUUUCUUAAAUGUUGAUACAAAAAAAGAGAAAGAUCCAGUUUUGCAUCAAAUAUCUCAUCAUUCCCUGUAUAAAACCACUACAGAGGACUCAAACCCAAAGGUCUCCCAACGUGCUCUGAUCCCACAGGCAGACAAGGACUCACUCACCACUUAACAUGUUGAAUAAGUCUGCAUCUGCAACUUGGGGAGAAGUGGCAGCUCCUGGCUAGGUAUCAGACUGGUUUUCCACUGGAACUUGUAACUGUGCUUACCUGCAGCUGGAGGGAACUCACUGUGAGGGCUGAUUUCUGUAAACAGCAGCAGAAGUUGCUAUCAUACAGAAGCAUGAGAUCCAGGAGAAGCCAGGCCUCAGAGGAGGUUAAGAAUAGUACUCUGGCAUCCAAAUGUAAGGAGCAUGAAAUCACUGCCAUCAGAAAAGAACAACACAAGAAAGGCUUUAUUCUAUCAUCCUGCACUACAAAGGGAGAAAUAAAUCCUGAGACAGCAUCAAACGCACCUUCAGAAAGUGAAGGUAAUACAGUGCUGCACAAAUGUGCUGUGUUGUAACGUUUGGCCAAAAAAAAGGAAAAAAGUGCUUUCUGUUAAGAAUACACCAUUGGCUGGAUAGGCCAAUGUGCUCCAGCUUAUAACUGGAUAUACUGCAGUUCUUUGCAAAGCACUGGUUUAGGACAUGAUGAAAUAGCUUUGCAGCUGAAGCAAGAGGUACAAACACUUGAGAAGAACAAAGCCGGUGAAACUGGGCAAUGUUUCAAGUCAUUUAGCAAAGCAUUUUUAGUCUCCUCUUUCAAGGUGAGUGAUAGAGUCAUAACACAUUGCACCAGUAGAGAAGAUUUGCAUCUAAAGCAUUUCAUUCUGCGAGUAUCAGUGAUUGCAAGUGCUGAACCUAGUGUUGGGAAGAAGCCUGUUACAGUUCUCCAGCUCCUGCUGUGCAAAAUGAUGCUGACCAGUCACCCAUCACAGUCAGCUUCUCACUUUCAUCCAACAUUUGUGAGGAACAAGGUUUGAUUUUCCAGCUUUCUAACCCAAAGUCUGAAGACGUUCAUCAGAAUCUGCCUUAUGUGUGGACCCUGGUGAGACCUGAGCAAGUUCAAAAACAAAUAAAAGAGCAAGCAUUUAACCUGAAAGAAGUUGGGUUUGACAAACCAAUUAUUCUACAGCAUUAUGGUGAUUACAGAGGAGAAACUUUCCCCAGGACAUGGAAGGUUCAGGCUGGCAGGACUGUCACAUCAAAGCUGCCAUAUGACAAACCUCAGAUUCCAGUGGUCAAGAGAGCAAACACAGCACAGAGAAAACUGCACUACAGACUGAAUGAUGGCUCAUCCUUCAUUUAAUAUCCUUUCUUAAGCUCACUUAAAUUCCUGUAAGUGUGUGAAAGGCAGGGGGAGGACUUCUACCGAAGGACAAUCACACAGCGUGUAGCUGAACCGCUUCCAAAAUCCAGCUACAUAUAAAAGAACAAGACUUUAUUCUUUGGGCUUCUUAUCAGACUCUAUUUAUAUGGUACCACAUCUAUAGUCGGUCUACAACAGCAAAGCCCAGUGUGCGUCAGGUGGGUUGAAAGGCAUAAAAAAAAAAAAAAAACCCAAAAAAAACUGCAGAAUGAACAAUGCAGUUUUAAAUUAACAGUAUCAGACUGCAAACUAUUUAAAGUAUGACCUUGUCGUGAACAAAGACCACUUUAUCAAUCACAAACAUAAUCACAAACAUCAAGAUGUAUUAGGAACUGUGCAAGUCUGCUCUGUUACAAGUCCACAGAAGACACCAUGCCUCAUAAACCUACUUCUGAGUCAUACAUUGCUCCUGCAAAGGACACUUUUGACCUGUACCAGCAUGAGUUUCCUGCUAUCUUUUAUUAGUUCAGUAACGUGAAUUUUGUGCUGAGAGCUUUGCCUGCUCAUCCUCUAUCACUCCCAAUCCACUUAUUCAAGGAAGAAGAUGACUGGGUUGGUAGCUUCGCUUUCUCUUAUGCACAUGGACUGAAUACCCUGUCUUAGAGCUGAUGAUGUUAGUCCCUGUGUUCUCUGCAUGGUUAAGUAACAGAAGCUACAGAGUUGGAGAGAGAAUGAUAACUUAACUCCUUGACUCUCAUUUUAGCUAUCCAUCUGAAUAUCUUGCGGUUUGCCAGAGCUGCUGCAAUCUCCCAUGUAGGGGGAUGUAUACCAACAUAUUUAGCCCUUCUCCAGAUCAUUCUAUAGGUGGAACUUUCACCUCUUUUGGACAUGGCAGCAUCUAUCUUCCUAACAGCAACACUGUAACCAUGAUGUUUAAUCAGGAAGGAGGUCUGGUGACUAAUGAAGAUGAAGAAAUGGUCAGAGAAUGGAAAUGGCCUCGGGAUGGCAAGCUGGCCCAGCCAGUUAUAGCACGGGUUAAUGAAUUCAUCACAGUGAGGAUUGCAGGACGCUUUGCAAUUAGCUUGGUCUACAAGUGGCAACAUGAAAGUAUGUGCUUGUCUUUGUCACGGCCGCGGGGUGCGGCUCUUCCGCGGUUAGAAGAAUCGGUAUGUUGCAACUGCUGCAGUACUGCACUUUAUCAACUUUGUUCUGCAGAUUCUGGAACUGAUGAGCUUUUCUAUAAAAUAUGCUUCCCGAUGUUAGCACUAAGAGCAGUGCUACAGAGUGAUCAAAUUAGGCCUUCCGGAGAGUGAAUAAAAAGCAGAUUUAUGCUGAUGACUACCUACUACAGAUCUGGCCCAAAGGGACACAGCUUUCCACGCGCUUAGAUUCCUAUUUAUGCUUCCUCCCCCCCCCCAGACUUAGCCCAGUACGAGGUGGUUAUACCUUUUUGUGCUGCAGAUGGUGUACUGAAUGAUGCCCUAAGAAAUCCUGAUCCAAAUCUUCCUUUCCUUCAUUUCUGUGCAGUGAGCUGGCUGUCUAUCUAGGUUUAUCAUCUAGCCAAAGCCUGAUAUCUUCAUGUCUUUCAGUUCAAUGUUGGGUUGAAAUACAUGUUGUUAGAACAGAUUUUUGUGUGUGUGUGAUUUUGGGGUCAGGAAAAAAUAGUUAUGAAACAAUUGUUGGAAAAGCAGAAGAAAUCUGUCAUCCAAGUAAAACAAAAAUAAAACAGAUCACGCUGGUUCAGAGUUAAUUUCCUUCUCCCUGUAAGUAUUUAGUCUAGAAAUUGUAGAAACAGACACUGUGGAUUUGUAAUAGGCAUGUAUAUACAUAUCAUUGAGUUUAAAAGAAAUUUAGAUUAACUCCUAAACUUCUGAGAAGUUAAAUUUGUCAGAGUUUUUAAAUGGCUUUUCAUAAAAGAAGUAUUUCACUAUAUGUAGCACAUAGGCUUAGGUGUUAGGAUGUGGCCCAUCGAGCAACUUCAAGUAGCAUCACCAUCAUUAGCUGAAAAACCUGACUUCUCACUCAGGCACAUUUCCACUGAUGUGGGAAAGGAAAUGUUCUAAAUGAGGGAAGAUAAAGGUAGUAAAUGAACAAAUUCAAACAAUUAACUAUUUUUCAUUUGUUUGGAAACAAAAAUCACUCAAUUUGUGUUUCAUAAGAUGGACUGCUGCUUUUUUAACAGUUUGUCAAUUCUUUGAUUAAAGAAGAUGAGAGACUCCUAAUAUAGCCUAUAAUACCUCUGUAAAACUGGGAUGAGAAUCAACAUCUUAUUCCCUCUAGCUCCAGAAAAGCCUGGGCCAUAACAAUAAUAGAGCUACCCUUGAGUUCUUGUAAGACUGCCAUCUGAAACACCACCAGAAAAAGGCUUCCUGAGAUUAAUGAUUCACUGGAUAUCUUUCCCUGGUGGAACUGGAAGGGUCACUGCUCUAAGGGACUAUAAGGAAAUGGGGAGAAGUGGAAUAGCAGGAGCCCUGGGCUCAUUCACAACCCUCAAUAGGUGUUCAGGAUUUAUUCAAGUACCAGUUCUGACUUCUUUACACCCAAAACAUUUCUUAACAGAUCACUGAGGUGGAAAAUUUGACCUUAAGAGGAUUUGACUUGAAAUAGCUGAUGUAGCAAAUUCCAUCUGAAGAAAUUUUAUAGAAGAGAUAUGGCAGAUAGGUACAGU